UGCCAGCCGCCGCGGUAAUACGAAGGGGGCUAGCGUUGUUCGGAAUUACUGGGCGUAAAGCGCACGUAGGCGGACUUUUAAGUCAGAUGUGAAAUCCCAAGGCUCAAGCUUGGAACUGCAUUUGAAACUGGGAGUCUAGAGAUCAGGAGAGGUUAGUGGAAUACCUAGUGUAGAGGUGAAAUUCGUAGAUAUUAGGAAGAACACCAGUGGCGAAGGCGGCUCACUGGCUCGGUACUGACGCUGAGGUGCGAAAGCGUGGGGAGCAAACAGGAUUAGAUA
rnacentral:rRNA from 1 species